CCCUACGGGACGCAGCAGUGGGGAAUCUUGCACAAUGGGCGAAAGCCUGAUGCAGCGACGCCGCGUGGGCGAAGAAGGCCUUUGGGCCGUAAAGCCCUGUCGGGAGGGAAGAAGGAAGCGACGGUACCUCCCAAGGAAGCCCCGGCUAACUACGUGCCAGCAGCCGCGGUAAUACGUAGGGGGCAAGCGUUAUCCGGAUUUACUGGGUGUAAAGGGAGCGUAGACGGCUGUGCAAGUCUGAAGUGAAAGCCCAGGGCUCAACCCUGGGACUGCUUUGGAAACUGUGGAGCUAGAGUGCUGGAGAG
rnacentral:rRNA from 1 species